rnacentral:rRNA from 1 species
UACGUAGGGUGCGAGCGUUGUCCGGAAUUACUGGGCGUAAAGAGCUCGUAGGUGGUUUGUCGCGUUGUUCGUGAAAACUCACAGCUUAACUGUGGGCGUGCGGGCGAUACGGGCAGACUGGAGUACUGCAGGGGAGACUGGAAUUCCUGGUGUAGCGGUGGAAUGCGCAGAUAUCAGGAGGAACACCGGUGGCGAAGGCGGGUCUCUGGGCCGAUACUGACGCUGAGGCACGAAAGCCAGGGGAGCAAACGGG